UCCUCCUCCUCCGACGGAGAUGCGGCGCCCGUCAAUCCGCGCCGCAAGCCCAGGGUUUGCACCAGGAAGGUCAGGGGCGCCAGGAUCCGUACCCCAACCCCGAGCCCCGAACAACAGCAACCAGAGCAACAGCCAGAGCCAGAGCAGCAGCCGCCGCCGCAACCAGAGCAACCGGUCCAUGCCGAUCCUCUCGUCAGGGCGGUGCUCAUGAUCCCUACCAGAACCACCACUGCUACUGCUACCGCCAAGCAGGAUCCCGUGGAGGACUUCCUCGCGCUCGCCCGUCAGAAAGGCCUUAUCUAGCCGUUCGUCGCUUCCUGGGGUCCUGCACUCUUCACCUAGACUAUACAUGUUGCCAGGCUGCCUUGGACUUUGUCACUGUAUGUUGUCAAAUCGAAUGUUCUGGUAGCGCCUUUUAAAUGAUUACUAGGUUAGAUAUAACCAUGAGAAUGUUGAUGUUGGUACUUAGUAGUAUCGUUUAUGGGAUAUUGGGAUUACACUCAUGUUGUGGGUGUGUCUUAUGCUUUGCAGUUUUGGUCUUCAGUGUCAUGGCCAAUCCAGCAAUGCUUAGGUAGAUGGUUUGCAAUAGAUUGCAGCAAUUUUCCCUGCAAAAAUGUUUAUAUAUACUACAGAAAUUUGACAC